ACAAAUAUUUUUUUUAGAUAUAUUAUACAUAUAAUAUAUCUAAAAAAAUCAACUAACACAAAAAAAUAGUACCAUUUUGUUGGGUCAACCCAGUUGGUCAAACAGUUGUGUUUCAUAUUUCCCUUAAAAUGGUGUGAGAUAUAGUGUGUAUAUUUCAGUAUGAGUUGUUAUAAGACAAUGAUUGAAAGAAAUUGACUUUGUUGAAUAUGCUGGAUUCUGACACAUUAGAAACUUAAAAAAAAAAUUAUUUAAAACAGUCAGCAAGUGGUUAGUAUAGUGGUUAAUUUUAACUCCACACAUUCUAUGUCGUCUCAAAACUGAUAAAGCAACUAGUUCUAAACUGGAUAAGAAGCCUUAAAAAUAUUGGUGUAGUGGGAAGAGCGCUCGCUUUGUAAGCGAGAGGUUUGGAGCUCAACUCCUACCACGUCCCUGAAAGUACCGCGAUCAACUUAGUUUCUCCGCACAGCGGCUCAAGGCUCGUGUUUCGGAGUUAAAGAGUCGAGAAAGAUGCAGUUAUAUAUGACUAAGGUGGUUUGGAAGCGCGCAAUAUUGAAGGACUAGUUGGCGAUCUGAUGAAACGUGCAACCUCGAAAUCGCCCGAAAAAUUGCAACUAUUUAACAUGAGUAUCGUACUAUAAGAAAAAUUUAUAUUGUAAAAUUUAUGCCUUUUUUGUAAAAUAUGAUCUAUCAAUAAAUUGAAUUCUGUUUA
rnacentral:lncRNA from 1 species